rnacentral:rRNA from 1 species
AUGGUGUGCAGGGCGAAGAAGGCGAAGAAGGGGAGGUCGCCGCUGGCGGAGGAGAUGGAGGCCUUCUUCGCCGCGGCGGAGGGCGACGUCGCGCGGCGCUUCGCUGCCAAGUACAACUAUGACGUCGUCGCAGACGCUCCCAUGGAUGGGCAUCAGCAAGCUCCCAUGCUGAGAUCGACAAGCUCGACCUCGGCAUCGGCAAGUACAACAAGACCUGUUGCAGCAUCGUCACCAAGCACGUCGCCGAGUGGGAGGCCGUCGUCAUGCACAUGGGGAGGUGGAUUGACUACAAGGCUGACUUGCAAGGGGAGGUGGUCCAUCGCCUUGGCCGUCCUCACCGUCGGCUUCUCUCCUCUAAGUUAUCCCACUGAUUCCUCCCCUCUGCUUAUCUCCCAUGCUCUAUGUGGUAAAUCUUAUGAUGGCCUUGGCGCCAUGGAAAUUUCUGCUUUGGCCAUAAGAUCUUGGACUUGCUGUCAUCUUGGAUUGAUUAUAAGCUUGAUGUUGUCUUGGCUUCUUAGAACUAAGAAUAGUAACCCUCCAAAGUGA